AUCUUUGCACUUGGGGCAAUGACGCAGUUAGUGAGGUGAAACCGAGACGCGUCAAUUGCUGGUUGAAAACUAUUUUCCAUCGAAAUUGACAUUUAGGACAUAUCGACAACUAUCUAUGGAGGCCUAACUAAAAUCCAUAGAGG
rnacentral:snRNA from 1 species